AACAACAACAACUAAACCUUAGUCUCAAAUAACAAUUGCUUAGGCAACUACCAGAAAAAGUUCAACAUCCUGUAACAUUGCUUUCUUUCAUCUUAAAUAACACAUGUAUCUCUUCAUAGCUUUGGCCUAACCAUACAAACACAUGGAAGCUAAGCAGGAAAAACCAUUCUGCGUAAACCAUGUCUAAUCAUUCAGGUUUUUUCAACUGCUACUCAAACAAUAUAACAGCUAGAAUGAUUCUCUUUUCACACUUGACCAAAAUGAAGUCAAAAUUAUUCUUGUUCACAACAUGGUACAAGAAAGUUAUUCACCUCAACAUUAAGAACCCUAUUUGGAGUAAUUACAUGCAGAAAACAAUUAUUUCAAACACAGUUUGAUGACAUAGCAGUGCUAAACACUUCCAUCUGGUCCCUAUUCAAGUCAAACAUGUCUACGAAGUUUUACCCAUUUUCAGGAUGAGUGCUGCGUCCUUAUCAUAAGAAGAUGAAGGAAGCAUCAGUAAGUAUAUGAACCAUGAGAGACCUCCUGGGCUGAUGUUUUUCAUAUUCGUUAUUUAUGUAAUUUGCCUAAAAUGCAUUCAGAAGGUAAUAGUUCCUCAAGACAAGGGUUUUUAACCUUUUAUUAAGCUAGAAUAGAAUUGCACACAGCCGUGACUUUGACUCAUUUUUACAUAUCAUUUGCCGGAUUUCAUACAGAACAUUCAUGAAAAGAGAUAAAGAAGCAAUAUCAACAAACUGCAAUAAAAAUAUCACCUGUUCAAAAUUCUUCCUACG
rnacentral:misc_RNA from 1 species